rnacentral:rRNA from 1 species
UACGGAGGGUGCAAACGUUGCUCGGAAUCAUUGGGCGUAAAGCGCACGUAGGCGGUUCGUUAAGUCGGAUGUGAAAGCCCCGGGCUCAACCCGGGAAGUGCAUUCGAAACUGGCGAGCUUGAGUACGGAAGAGGGUCUCGGAAUUCCCGGUGUAGAGGUGAAAUUCGUAGAUAUCGGGAGGAACACCAGUGGCGAAGGCGGAGACCUGGGCCGAUACUGACGCUGAGGUGCGAAAGCGUGGGGAGCAAACAGG